rnacentral:rRNA from 1 species
UACGAAGGGGGCUAGCGUUGCUCGGACUUACUGGGCGUAAAGCGCACGUAGGCGGAUUGUUAAGUCGGGGGUGAAAUCCUGGAGCUCAACUCCAGAACUGCCUUCGAAACUGGCGAUCUUGAGUCCGGGAGAGGUGAGUGGAACUGCGAGUGUAGAGGUGAAAUGCGUAGAGAUGCGCAAGAACGGCAGUGGCGAAGGCAGCUCACUGGCCCGGUACUGACGCUGAGGUGCGAAAGCGUGGGGAGCAAACAGG